AAUGAACGUUGGCGGCGUGGAUUAGGCAUGCAAGUCGAGCGAGAACCGAGGAAGCUUGCUUCCGAGGGGACAGCGGCGAAAGGGAGAGUAACGCGUAGAUACGUACCUUAGGGUUCGGGAUAGCCUCGGGAAACUGUGGGUAAUACCGAAUAAUGUCUCCGGACCAAAGAUUUAUCGCCCUAAGAGCGGUCUGCGUCCUACUAGUUUGUUGGUGGGGUAAUGGCCUACCAAGACGACGAUGGGUACCGGGCGUGAGAGCGUGAUCCGGCUCACUGGGACUGAGACACUGCCCAGACACCUACGGGUGGCUGCAGUCGAGAAUCUUCCGCAAUGGACGAAAGUCUGACGGAGCGACGCCGCGUGCGGGAUGAAGGCCUUCGGGUUGUAAACCGCUGUCAGAGGGGAGGAAAUUUUGACCGAUCCUCAGAGGAAGCGCAGGCUAAGUUCGUGCCAGCCGCCGCCGUAACAC
rnacentral:rRNA from 1 species